rnacentral:rRNA from 1 species
UACGGAGGAUCCGAGCGUUAUCCGGAUUUAUUGGGUUUAAAGGGUGCGCAGGCGGAAUGUCAAGUCAGCGGUAAAAUUUCGGGGCUCAACCCCGUCAUGCCGUUGAAACUGGCAGUCUCGAGUUGGAGAGAAGUAUGCGGAAUGCGCGGUGUAGCGGUGAAAUGCAUAGAUAUCGCGCAGAACUCCGAUUGCGAAGGCAGCAUACCGGCGCCCGACUGACGCUGAAGCACAAAAGCGUGGGUAUCGAACAGG